rnacentral:misc_RNA from 1 species
GUGAAUCAUCGAAUCUUUGAACGCAAAUUGCGCCUUUUUCGGAAGGCAUGUCUGUUUGAGGGCACCAUUUAACAAAUAAUGUGCACUGUUUUGUGUGUGCACACGUUGAUGAGCUUUCCAGGAAAAUUUUUUUUUUUUUUUUUUUUUUCGUGGCGUAAAAUGAACAGCCGGAACGCUUUUUUUUGAAUUCGCUC